rnacentral:snRNA from 1 species
CACGCAAAAGUUCUGCGUCUUCGUAUAUGGCCCUUGCCUUUUACCAGAGCCAUCCGGGCGUAGACUUCUAUAUGCGUCUUGCUAGUUUUUGGAUCUUUUCUUUGUCUUCUCUCUAGAAGCU